CGAAGUGGGGUUUUUACAGUAAUUAAUUUAAUUAGCAGUUCAUUGUUUACCCAUUUUCAUGUUAACUAGUUUUAGGCUUUUAGGGCCCUCUGAUCAAAAGCAGUUGAACUGAAUUUUUUUGAUACGUUUUAUAUAUUGAGCCUAAACAAACCCAUUUCUCCAUGCUUACUCUUUUGUCCCCUGUUCAACACUCUGUAGUAGUCUAUCUAUAUGUGGAAACACACACAAUCUCUCUCUCUCUCUUACAGGGAAAAAAGUGGGGUUUUAUACGAGGUUUUGUAAUCUACUAAUUUCU
rnacentral:lncRNA from 1 species